rnacentral:rRNA from 1 species
GACGAACGCUGGCGGCGUGCUUAACACAUGCAAGUCGAACGGAAAGGCCCUGCUUGCAGGGUACUCGCGUGGCGAACGGGUGAGUAACACGUGGGUGAACCGCCCUGUACUUUGGGGUAAGCCUGGGAAAAUGGGUCUAUAACCGGAUAGGGGACAUUCUGAGUGUGAUGGUUGGAAAGAUUUUUCGGUGUUGGGUGAGCUCGCGGGCUAUAAGCUUGUUGGUGGGGUAAUGGGCUACCAAGCCGGCGAUGGGUAGCCGGCCUGUGAGGGUGGACGGCCACACAGGGGCAGAGAGACGGCCCAGACGCCGACAGGGGGCAGCGGGGGGGAAAAUUGCACAAUGGGCGCAGGCCUGAUGCAGCGACGCCGCGUGUGGGAUAACGGCGUUCUGGGGGUAAACACCUUUCUCGAGGGACGAGGCGUGUUGUGACGGUACCUAGAUAAGAAGCACCGGCUAACUACGUG